GGAAUUUUGCGCAAUGGGGGCAACCCUGACGCAGCAACGCCGCGUGGAGGACGCAGGCUUUCGAGUCGUAAACUCCUGUCCUCGGGGACGAAUCAAAUGACGGUACCCGUGGAGGACGCCCCGGCUAACGCCGUCCACGCAGCCGCGGUUAUACGGGGGGGGCGAGCGUUGUUCGGAAUUACUGGGCGUAGAGGGCGCGCAGGCGGCCCGAGAAGUUCUGGGUGAAAGCCCCCGGCUCAACCGGGGAAGGGCCUGGGAAACCAUCGGGCUGGAGUGCUGGAGAGGCAAGCGGAAUUUCUGGUGUAGCGGUGAAAUGCGUAGAUAUCAGAAGGAACACCUGAGGCGAAGGCGGCUUGCUGGACAGACACUGACGCUGAGGCGCGAAAGCCAGGGGAGCA
rnacentral:rRNA from 1 species